AUUGAACGCUGGCGGCAGGCCUAACACAUGCAAGUCGAACGGUAACAGAAAGCAGCUUGCUGCUUUGCUGACGAGUGGCGGACGGGUGAGUAAUGUCUGGGAAACUGCCUGAUGGAGGGGGAUAACUACUGGAAACGGUAGCUAAUACCGCAUAACGUCGCAAGACCAAAGAGGGGGACCUUCGGGCCUCUUGCCAUCGGAUGUGCCCAGAUGGGAUUAGCUAGUAGGUGGGGUAACGGCUCACCUAGGCGACGAUCCCUAGCUGGUCUGAGAGGAUGACCAGCCACACUGGAACUGAGACACGGUCCAGACUCCUGCGGGAGGCAGCAGUGGGGAAUAUUGCACAAUGGGCGCAAGACUGAUGCAGCCAUGCCGAGUGUAUGAAGAAGGCCUUCGGGUUGUAAAGUACUUUCAGCGGGGAGGAAGGGAGUAAAGUUAAUACCUUUGCUCAUUGACGUUACCCGCAGAAGAAGCACCGGCUAACUCCGUG
rnacentral:rRNA from 1 species